CACAAGUCAGCCGUUUCCUCAAGUUCACGUCAGAGCGGAGAUGAUGUGAGAGGCAGACCCGAGACAUAGCGAGACAGUCUCCGCUUGGACUGGCUGAGGAAAGUCUCCUAAAUGGCCCUGGAGAUGUUCUGACUGACUUUGGAGGCUUUUUGGACUGUUUUAUGCCCUCUAUUUAAAGAAGACUUAAUUCUGUAUGUUCAGUCUGUAUGAUAAGUGAAUAAGUGAAUAAAAAGCUUUUGUUUUUAUGUGA